GAUGAACGCUGGCGGCGUGCCUAAUACAUGCAAGUCGAGCGAACGGACGAGAAGCUUGCUUUUCUGAUGUUAGCGGCGGACGGGUGAGUAACACGUGGAUAACCUACCUAUAAGACUGGGAUAACUUCGGGAAACCGGAGCUAAUACCGGAUAAUAUUUUGAACCGCAUGGUUCAAAAGUGAAAGACGGUCUUGCUGUCACUUAUAGAUGGAUCCGCGCUGCAUUAGCUAGUUGGUAAGGUAACGGCUUACCAAGGCAACGAUGCAUAGCCGACCUGAGAGGGUGAUCGGCCACACUGGAACUGAGACACGGUCCAGACUCCUACGGGAGGCAGCAGUAGGGAAUCUUCCGCAAUGGGCGAAAGCCUGACGGAGCAACGCCGCGUGAGUGAUGAAGGUCUUCGGAUCGUAAAACUCUGUUGUUAGGGAAGAACAUAUGUGUAAGUAACUGUGCACAUCAUGACGGUACCUAAUCAGAAAGCCACGGCUAACUACGUG
rnacentral:rRNA from 1 species